AUUGAACGCUGGCGGCAUGCUUUACACAUGCAAGUCGGACGGCAGCACAGAGAAGCUUGCUUCUUGGGUGGCGAGUGGCGAACGGGUGAGUAAUAUAUCGGAACGUACCGAGUAAUGGGGGAUAACUAAUCGAAAGAUUAGCUAAUAUCGCAUAUUCUCUGAGGAGGAAAGCAGGGGACCUUCGGGCCUUGCGUUAUUCGAGCGGCCGAUAUCUGAUUAGCUAGUUGGUGGGGUAAAGGCCUACCAAGGCGACGAUCAGUAGCGGGUCUGAGAGGAUGAUCCGCCACACUGGGACUGAGACACGGCCCAGACUCCUACGGGAGGCAGCAGUGGGGAAUUUUGGACAAUGGGCGCAAGCCUGAUCCAGCCAUGCCGCGUGUCUGAAGAAGGCCUUCGGGUUGUAAAGGACUUUUGUCAGGGAAGAAAAGGCUGUUGCUAAUACCGACAGCUGAUGACGGUACCUGAAGAAUAAGCACCGGCUAACUACGUG
rnacentral:rRNA from 1 species